GCCUCGUGGUGAUUUGUUCGACCAGCUUGCGGCCACGUUAAAAAUCUCCGCUAAACGGUCUGUGG
rnacentral:ncRNA from 1 species